rnacentral:rRNA from 1 species
UACGUAGGGUGCAAGCGUUAAUCGGAAUUACUGGGCGUAAAGCGCGCGCAGGCGGUUUUGUAAGUUUGUCGUGAAAGCCCCGGGCUCAACCUGGGAAUUGCGAUGAAGACUGCAAGGCUUGAAUCUGGCAGAGGGGGGUAGAAUUCCACGUGUAGCAGUGAAAUGCGUAGAGAUGCGGAGGAACACCGAUGGCGAAGGCAGCCCCCUGGGUCGACACUGACGCUCAGGCACGAAAGCGUGGGGAGCAAACAGG